UACGAAGGGGGCUAGCGUUGCUCGGAAUCACUGGGCGUAAAGGGUGCGUAGGCGGGUCUUUAAGUCAGGGGUGAAAUCCUGGAGCUCAACUCCAGAACUGCCUUUGAUACUGAGGAUCUUGAGUUCGGGAGAGGUGAGUGGAACUGCGAGUGUAGAGGUGAAAUUCGUAGAUAUUCGCAAGAACACCAGUGGCGAAGGCGGCUCACUGGCUCGGUACUGACGCUGAGGUGCGACAGCGUGGGGAGCAAACAGG
rnacentral:rRNA from 1 species